rnacentral:pre_miRNA from 1 species
GGGCCAUCUCCCUAAAGAGACUUGUGAUUUGUCUGUUUUCCUAGUAAGUAGGAAAACAGACAAAUCACAGAUCCUUUCAGGGAGAUGGCCC